rnacentral:rRNA from 1 species
UAGGGAAUCUUCCACAAUGGACGAAAGUCUGAUGGAGCAACGCCGCGUGAGUGAAGAAGGGUUUCGGCUCGUAAAACUCUGUUGUUAAAGAAGAACAUAUCUGAGAGUAACUGUUCAGGUAUUGACGGUAUUUAACCAGAAAGCCACGGCUAACUACGUAUCAG